GUGAAGAUCUACGGAGUCCCCAUGGCCGUCUGUCCCCAAAGGGUCAUGCUCUGCCUUGUCGAGAAGGCGGUACCCUUCGAGAUCAUCUAUGUCGACCUUGACAAGAUGGAGCAAAAGGAGCCCAAAUACAUGGCCAAACAGCCGUUUGGGCAAGUCCCCUACAUCGAGGACGGAGAUUUCGGACUCUAUGAAUCCAGGGCCAUCAUAAGAUAUUAUGCCGCCAAGUACACUGACCAAGGUCCUGACCUCCUGGGAGGGACUCUGGAAGAGCGUGCCCGUGUGGAUCAGUGGCUCGACAUAGAAGCCAUGAACUACAACCCCGUCGUAUUCCCCAUUGUCCUCAACCUUUUCAUCAUCCCAAAGAUGGGUGGUGUUGGCAAUCGUGCCGAAGCCGAGUCUUUUGUUGAGAAGCUCGGGAAAGUGCUCGACGUCCUGGACGGGCAGUUGGCAAAGACCAAGUACCUGGCAGGGGACAAGUAUACUCUAGCCGACAUUACAUUCAUUCCGGCCACCCAGUACCUUGUAAAGUUCUGCGGGAUGGCACACCUGAUUGACCAGAGGAAGCACGUGAAGGUCUGGUGGGACGACAUAACCGGCCGGCCGGCGUGGAAGACGGUGCUCAGCAUUGCUGAGGUCAAGGGAUUAAGCUACUUGCCUUCAGCUUGAAGUAGGUUGCG
rnacentral:misc_RNA from 1 species